rnacentral:rRNA from 1 species
ACUGCUCAGUAACACGUGGACAACCUGCCCUUAGGGCGGGGAUAAACCCGGGAAACUGGGUAUAAUACCCGAUAGGUCUCGAUUGCUGGAAUGCAUCGAGAUUUAAAGCUCCGGCGCCUAGGGAUGGGUCUGCGGCCUAUCAGGUAGUAGUGGGUGUAGCGUACCUACUAGCCUACGACGGGUACGGGUUGUGAGAGCAAGAGCCCGGAGAUGGAUUCUGAGACACGAAUCCAGGCCCUACGGGGGUGCAGCAGGCGCGAAAACUUUACAAUGCUGGCAACAGCGAUAAGGGAACCUCGAGUGCCAGGUUACAAAUCUGGCUGUCGAGAUGCCUAAAAAGCAUUUCAUAGCAAGGGCCGGGCAAGACCGGUGCCAGCCGCCGCGGUAACACCGGCGGCUCGAGUGGUAACCGUUAUUAUUGGGUCUAAAGGGUCUGUAGCCGGCCGGAUAAGUCUCUUGAGAAAUCUGGCAGCUUAACUGUCAGGCUUUCAGGAGAUACUGUCUGGCUCGAGGCCGGGAGAGGUGAGAGGUACUUCAGGGGUAGGGGUGAAAUCUUGUAAUCCUUGAAGGACCACCAGUGGCGAAGGCGUCUCACCAGAACGGACCUGACGGCAAGGGACGAAAGCUAGGGGCACGAACCGGAUUAGAUACCCGGGUAGUCCUAGCCGUAAACGAUACUCGCUAGGUGUCGGCCACGGUGCGACCGUUGUCGGUGCCGUAGGGAAGCCGUGAAGCGAGCCACCUGGGAAGUACGGCCGCAAGGCUGAAACUUAAAGGAAUUGGCGGGGGAGCAC